GCCUCCACCACAAAUUCCAUCAUCUUCAGCUCAAGAAUCUCAUGUGUAGUACUGGUUAUACGUACGUUUUCCGGUGAGACAGCCUGGCAGAGGCUGGAACACAGCCGCGCACGACAUGGUGAGGAAAGGCCAUGCCGGCGGAUUAGACGCAGGCAUGCUGCCUAAGAACUUUGUUUUCUUGAUCUACCUCUUAAGUAUAUCUGGCUUUCCUCGCCGCCAUCGGCCACUUGACAAUCAGUGUAUGUGUGUUGUUCCUUCUUGGCAUCUGGUCUUCUGUUGUUGGUCUCUUUCUGCAUCGUUUCUCUGAAUUUUUCUAAGUUGACUUGGUUGAAUCUUGAGGUUCAGCUAGGUACAUAGGAGAUGACAAAUAAUAGGUAGGAAUUGCGUAUGUUUAAGAAUAAAUUUUAUUUGGUUUACUAGUAGUAGUAGUACAAAUUUUGAUCUCUGUAAAAUUCUAAGAACAUAUUCACUUCCCCAAUCCGCUGGCGCAAAUAUUGCAGCCAAACCAAUGUAUUGGGCACUUCUGGUUUAUUGAUUCAAUAUUUAUUCUGUAUACAUGUACGAUUAAAGCUUGUGUCUCCUAAACAUAGGCAGGCCACAUCUUCUCCAAUUUUAAGGGAGGAUAUGUAGUUCCCUGACCUGGACGAGAUGAACAGCUAACUGAACUUCAUCUAUAUAAACUUUGCAUCUCUGAACCUUCUGAACCUGGUUGUCUUGGCGCUGCUGUCUUCGUCAGGAAAAACACCUCUGCUGUUGGGCCAAGGUCCUCACCUCGCCGGAGUACCCUCCGCAGCCACCUCGUCUACCCCAACUUCAUCCACUCCCCCGGCCGGAUUCUCCUCCGAUCUACCCCUGUUCGUCCACCACACUCGUCCCACCCGCAUCAGGUCAACCGGCACCGCCCAAGCCUUACUGAUGGGAGGCGCGGCGCCGUCCAGGAGCCAUGGCAUCACGCCCUGCUUGCUCGCUGGCGCGGUGCGCGAGGCGCCGCGAACUCGCCUGGCCGCGUCACUCGUAUGGCCGACGCGGUUUUGUCCGUCUAUCUUCACGCCGGCGAGGGGCACGGUGCCAACCACGAGGAUGCACCGGCGGCCGCGACGUGAGCCAUGGAGGUCCUUCCUCCAUGGCAGCUGCGAGGAUGGAGUUUUCCUGAGGCCUCGGCCAUGGAGAACGGUCUUCUCAUGUAGAUGCAGUUGCAGUUGACGGCUAGCACAAUAUUACUCUGAACCUGCCAAAGUCUGCUAUGGAUGCACUAUUAGGUUGAUUCAGAUAGUGAGCUAGAUGCGCAGGCAAGUCGGCAACUCUGGUUUCUCAUUAUCAUCAUUCUGUGUACUAUGUCCCCGAUGGGCACCUCUGGUCCUCGCCGUUGCUAGGAACGUCAUGUUGAUAGCGGCUUCCUGCCCUGCUUGAUACUCCCAGAAUGCAUGCGUCGGGGCCAGCUCCGGGCCAGCUGAGCUGUGUAAUGUGAUGGUGGCGUGCGGGAUGCAGGAGGACGAGUGGGUGCUGUCUGCCUAGGUUGAAGCAAGACACGUGGCAAGUUGGCGACUCUGGUUUUUCAUUAUCAUCAUCCGGUGUACAACGGCCCAGAUGGGCACCUCUGGUCUCGCCACCAACGUCAUGCUGCUAGCGGCCGCCUGCCCCGCUUGAUACUCCCAGGAUGCAUGCGCCGGGGCAAGCUCUAAGCCUGCUGAGGUGCAGAAUGUGAUGGCGGCGUGCGGGAUGCAGGAGGACGAGUGGGUGCUGUCUCCUCGGUUUGAAGCAAAAGAAAAGGAGGCAUGAUACGCCAAAAGCGAGAAAAACUCCAUCCUUUUUCUUUUGACAUCCCCAUGCCACCACACCGGGGGGCAUGGGGACGUCAAAAAAGGGGCCCUAUCACUAUAAACUAAGACACGUGGUGAGCUACAAAUUUUAUAUGUGAACUCCAUUCCGUGUUUAUUGUAGCAGCUAUCAGCUCUUAUUCUAUGUAUGCUAAUUGACUGUUAUCCUGAAGUUAUUUUUCCACACCAAUCAUAUAUUGUCGGGGUGUAGCACUAAGUUGGAAUCUUGCCACGUGCUAAUCAUAGGUGUCUGAGAUUUUUGUAGAGUAACUUUUGUCGUUGUAGAUGACAUUUUUGUUACGGUAUCUAGAUCAUGAACAUUAUGUUUCUUUCAAGGUCAUGUCGUUUUCCAUCCUGCAACUAGCACCGUUCUUAGAGGUGCUACAGCUAAUCGAUGAUGUUGAUCUAUAAUUUCUUUGUUUGUAAAGAGCUAGCAUAUGACUCUGCAAAAGUUGAACUUUAAUAUAUGCAUUCUAAAAGAGCUAAUCUAGAUCAUGAAGUAAUUGAUUAGAAAUAUACAUUUGAUGCCCAUCAAUUUUUUCUUGUUUCAUAAAAAAGAUGUUAAGAAAAGCUAGCACGAGGGACAUGGCUUUUGUCAUUAGCCAAAAUUUCCUAUU